UCGAGGGGCAGCAUGAUUGAAGCUUGCUUCAAUUGAUGGCGACCGGCGCACGGGUGAGUAACGCGUAUCCAACCUUCCGCUUACUCGGGGAUAGCCUUUCGAAAGAAAGAUUAAUACCCGAUGGUAUGAUGAGAUUGCAUGAUAGCAUCAUUAAAGAUUUAUUGGUAAGCGAUGGGGAUGCGUUCCAUUAGGUAGUAGGCGGGGUAACGGCCCACCUAGCCGACGAUGGAUAGGGGUUCUGAGAGGAAGGUCCCCCACAUUGGAACUGAGACACGGUCCAAACUCCUACGGGAGGCAGCAGUGAGGAAUAUUGGUCAAUGGACGAGAGUCUGAACCAGCCAAGUAGCGUGAAGGAUGAAGGUCCUACGGAUUGUAAACUUCUUUUAUAAGGGAAUAAAACCUCCCACGUGUGGGAGCUUGUAUGUACCUUAUGAAUAAGCAUCGGCUAACUCCGUGCCAGCAGCCGCGGUAAUACGGAGGAUGCGAGCGUUAUCCGGAUUUAUUGGGUUUAAAGGGAGCGCAGACGGGUCGUUAAGUCAGCUGUGAAAGUUUGGGGCUCAACCUUAAAAUUGCAGUUGAUACUGGCGUCCUUGAGUGCGGUUGAGGUGUGCGGAAUUCGUGGUGUAGCGGUGAAAUGCUUAGAUAUCACGAAGAACUCCGAUUGCGAAGGCAGCACACUAAGCCGUAACUGACGUUCAUGCUCGAAAGUGUGGGUAUCAAACAGGAUUAGAUACCCUGGUAGUCCGCACGGUAAACGAUGGAUACUCGCUGUUGGCGAUAUACGGUCAGCGGCUUAGCGAAAGCGUUAAGUAUCC
rnacentral:rRNA from 1 species